CGGGACAUCGCAGCCUCGCCAUCAAAUGGUGAUCCCAUUCAAGCGCUGU
rnacentral:ncRNA from 1 species